rnacentral:rRNA from 1 species
AACGAACGCUGGCGGCAGGCUUAACACAUGCAAGUCGAGCGCCCCGCAAGGGGAGCGGCAGACGGGUGAGUAACGCGUGGAAACGUACCCUUUGCUACGGAAUAGCUCCGGGAAACUGGAAUUAAUACCGUAUGUGCCCUACGGGGGAAAGAUGUAUCGGCAAAGGAUCGGCCCGCGUUGGAUUAGGUAGUUGGUGGGGUAAUGGCCUACCAAGGCGACGAUCCAUAGCUGGUCUGAGAGGAUGAUCAGCCACAUUGGGACUGAGACACGGCCCAAACUCCUACGGGAGGCAGCAGUGGGGAAUAUUGGACAAUGGGCGCAAGCCUGAUCCAGCCAUGCCGCGUGAGUGAUGAAGGCCUUAGGGUUGUAAAGCUCUUUCACCGGAGAAGAUAAUGACGGUAUCCGGAGAAGAAGCCCCGGCUAACUUCGUGCCAGCAGCCGCCGUAACAC